UACGUAGGGGGCGAGCGUUGUCCGGAUUCAUUGGGCGUAAAGAGCUCGUAGGCGGCUUACUAAGUCGAGUGUGAAAACUCCAGGCUCAACCUGGAGCCUGCACUUGAUACUGGUAUGGCUAGAGUCCGGUAGGGGACCACGGAAUUCCUGGUGUAGCGGUGAAAUGCGCAGAUAUCAGGAGGAACACCGGUGGCGAAGGCGGUUCUCUGGGCCUUACCUGACGCUGAGGAGCGAAAGCGUGGGGAGCGAACAGG
rnacentral:rRNA from 1 species